UACGUGAGUGGCAAGCGUUGUCCGGAUUUAUUGGGUUUAAAGGGUGCGUAGGCGGUCUUUUAAGUCAGUGGUGAAAUACUUCAGCUUAACUGGAGAGGUGCCAUUGAUACUGGGAGACUUGAGUACUGAUGAGGUAGGCGGAAUGGACGGUGUAGCGGUGAAAUGCUUAGAUAUCGUCAAGAACACCGAUAGCGAAGGCAGCUUACUGGGCUGUAACUGACGCUGAGGCACGAAAGUGUGGGGAGUCAAACAGGAUU
rnacentral:rRNA from 1 species